UUUUGUACAGGAGGUGUCACAAGCCCGGAGAACGGAACUCACAGCCGGAGUCCCCAUGGGGAGGAACAAGAGGAGCUGCCUGGGAGCUGCGCUCAUCUUCCUUCUGCUGCAGAUUACGGGAUCAUUGGCAAAUUGGGAGAUCUGCCGCUAUGAUUUUGCUGAUAAGGAAUACCAUUUCUCGGUGCCCAGAUCCCUGGAGCCUGGCAUGUUGGUGGGGAAAGUGCUUUUUGAAUGGCAACGCAAAC